GAUGAACGCUGGCGGCGUGCCUAAUACAUGCAAGUCGAGCGAACAGACGAGGAGCUUGCUCCUCUGACGUUAGCGGCGGACGGGUGAGUAACACGUGGAUAACCUACCUAUAAGACUGGGAUAACUUCGGGAAACCGGAGCUAAUACCGGAUAAUAUAUUGAACCGCAUGGUUCAAUAGUGAAAGACGGUUUUGCUGUCACUUAUAGAUGGAUCCGCGCCGCAUUAGCUAGUUUGUAAGGUAACGGCUUACCAAGGCAACGAUGCGUAGCCGACCCGAGAGGGUGAUCGGCCACACUGGAACUGAGACACGGUCCAGACUCCUACGGGAGGCAGCAGUAGGGAAUCUUCCGCAAUGGGCGAAAGCCUGACGGAGCAACGCCGCGUGAGUGAUGAAGGUCUUCGGAUCGUAAAACUCUGUUAUUAGGGAAGAACAAAUGUGUAAGUAACUAUGCACGUCUUGACGGUACCUAAUCAGAAAGCCACGGCUAACUACGUG
rnacentral:rRNA from 1 species